rnacentral:tRNA from 1 species
UCUCUGGUAGCUCAGACGGUAAAGCGUCUGCCUACAAUGCAGGAGACCCAGGUUCAAUCCCUGGGUUGGGAA